CCGGGGCUUUGUUUGAAAACAAGCACAGCAGGGGGCAGAGAACCCUGAAAAAGGCCAGUGUGUGUGAGCAUGUGUGUCUGAGUUUGUGAACACGUGAGUGUGUGAACAUGCGGCUGUAUGUGUGAAUGUGUCAGGAUGUAAAUACACGUGCAUGUGACUAUGUGUGUGUGUGUGCGAUUUGUGUGUGUGAUGGCAUGACUUGAGUGUGUGAGGUGUGCCCGAGUGUGGGCCUGGGUGCAUGCGGCUGAGCGGGUGUGACCGUGAGGUCUGCUGAGGGUCACUCAGGAGGAGGAAAUGAAGGACAGGAAGCCGGGAAGGAGAGGCUGGCAAAGAGGUGCCUCUUCCCUCAGCUGGAAAUGCAGAUGACGGUGGAGCAGGAGCAGCCAGGAACCAGGCUGCGCAGCGCUGAUGUCAUCCUCCAUUAAUCAGGAGGCAGAUGCUCCCGCCCUUGUGCUCCACCAUCUCCCAGGAAGAGGCAAAGCCAGGUUUCCUGAGCAUCCCGGCCCCAUCUACAGCAUGGGCACUUCCACAAGAGUGUGA
rnacentral:lncRNA from 1 species